UUACAGCUUAGUGUCUGUGGCUCCGUAAUUAAUUGUAGCUAGCUGUCUCAUAUCGACGUGUUUUUAAGGAACAUGAAAUAGUUGUUGUGUGUGGGUUUUUUUUAAUUAGAGGAGUUGCCAGAGCAAGAGAUUUGAAGACCAACUGUGCUGCUGCUGCUGCUUCUGGUUGUCGCUACUCUAUCUUACUUGUGAUGUUGGAUAUGGGAGAAAGGAAAGAAGUCAAAAUGAUUCCUAAAUCAUCGUUUAGUAUAAACAGCCUGGUUCCCGAAGCCGUCCAAAGCGACAACCACAACCAUCACCACCACCAUCAACAACACCACAGAACGGUGCACGAGGAAGAGGAGAAAACUCCUUUACCUGCCCAAGUGCUGGAGCAAAAGUCGGAGAACACUUGCGCUAAAAGUGAGAAUUCAUCCCACGACUCGUCGUGCACGGACGAGAAGGAGAAACCGGAAGAAAAACGGGACCCCAAAGAAGGCGAAGGAGGCAAAGACGGCGAAAAGAAAAACGGCAAGUACGAGAAACCACCUUUUAGCUACAAUGCUUUGAUUAUGAUGGCCAUUCGGCAGAGUCCCGAGAAACGGUUAACCCUUAACGGCAUUUACGAGUUCAUUAUGAAAAAUUUCCCGUAUUACCGGGAGAACAAACAGGGAUGGCAGAAUUCCAUCAGACACAACUUAAGUCUUAACAAGUGUUUUGUCAAAGUGCCCCGGCAUUACGAUGACCCAGGAAAGGGAAACUACUGGAUGCUUGACCCAUCUAGUGACGACGUGUUCAUUGGCGGCACGACGGGCAAACUUCGGCGGAGAUCGACCACCUCGAGGGCAAAGCUGGCGUUUAAACGGGGCGCACGGCUUACCUCCACCGGACUGACAUUUAUGGAUAGAGCUGGCUCUUUAUAUUGGCCUAUGUCGCCGUUCCUCUCGCUACACCAUCCGAGGGCGAGCAGUGCGUUGAGUUAUAACGGCACAUCGUCGCCUUAUCCUAGUCACCCAAUGUCUUAUAGCACAAUGUUGACUCAAAACAGUUUGGGGAGCAAUCACUCUUUUCCAACCUCCAAUGGUUUGAGUGUUGACAGACUAGUGAAUGGAGACAUCCCUUACGCCACACACCACCUCACUGCGGCCGCUUUGGCCGCAUCAGUGCCAUGUGGGCUUUCCGUACCCUGUUCCGGGACAUACUCUUUGAAUCCUUGUUCGGUGAACCUGCUUGCGGGCCAGACCAGUUAUUUCUUCCCCCACGUCCCUCACCCAUCCAUGACCUCCCAGAGCACCACGUCCAUGAGUUCCCGGGCCGCCUCUUCCUCCUCCCCGCAAACGGCCUCCUCUCUCUCGUGUGACUCCUUAAGGCCUUCCCUACCCAGUUUCUCAUCCGGACUUUCGAGCGGACUUUCUGACUACUUCACACAUCAGAAUCAAGGGUCAACAUCAAAUCCCCUUAUACACUAACUAACAUCCACAGGAUCAGACUCUCAACUAGUCCAUGUCGUUCGCAACACCAAGUUUGUAUUCCAGAUGUCUGGCAGUGUGUGCUGCAGUAGCCCGAAUCCACCCUGUGAUGCGUUACUCACCCAUGCUGAGAAUGUUUACAGUUGUAAUCAAGGUCCAUGUAACUUGUUUGUGAAAUGUUUUGCCUUUAUGUUUUAGAGGUGCUAUACAAUUUGCAAAUAGUAGGGCAUGAAGUCACAGUUUGAUUAAAUUGCUGUCAGUACAAAAAAAGAAAGAGAAAACAGAGGCUUUGUAUAAACCCAAGACUGUUAUUUUGCAUCCCUUUAUAGAAUGAGUUUGAUUUUUCUCCCUUUAGACAAUCUUACAAUUUGAAUUAAAUAUGAACACCUUGGCAUUGUGUUUGUUCAACAUUUUGCUUUGCAUAUGAAGAUCUGUAUAUUUUCUACAUUUUGCAAACAACGUUUUUGUGACAUUUUGUUUGUUGUUGAAACAGUAUUCCCUUGUUGCUAAUGUUUUUGUUGUAAAGGAGAAAACAUGCUGAUCUAC